CGUGACCACUGAAUCAAAGAGUUGUUUGAACAGCUGCAUUCCUUCACACCCCUUCACCCCUCUCUCUCUCUCUCUCUCUCUCUCUCUCUCUCUCUGUCUCUCUCUCUCCCACAAUGUCCCUCCAUCCCUCUCGGAGGGCAGGAGUGCGGUAAGUCCUCCUUUCACUGUGGACAGGUGCCUAUUACAGGUCGAGCAUAAAGAUGAGAGACGCAGGAACUCUGAGGCUUCACAGCAGCGACUGCGGCUGAUUUACGGACCCGCGACAGCCCCGAACAUUAAAGAGGAAGCAGCUGCAGGUUCUCUUUACACCUUUGUACGGAUGCACAACAAAGAUGAGCAGAUGCAGACACACACACACACACACACACACACACACACACACACACACACACACACACACACACACACACACACAUACACACACACACACACACACACACACAAACAAACACACAGUCAUCAUAUCAUUUUGACCUUUUGUUGUGAUCUUGCAGCAUCUUGGACACAAAUCAGUAGGCUGUGAAGGAAUUUGUAGUAACAAAAACAAACGUUUUUCAAAUGCACAGUUCACAAAUGAACUGUGCAUUUGAGAGAAAAGAGAAAAGUUCUUUAAGGUUAUCUGCUGACAUCUCAAUCAACGAAUGUACAUGUAUUGUGCACUUUGUGAGUAUGUGUUUAUUACCCAGUUUGAGAAUGAAAGAAAUAAUAGAAAAAAACUCACAUCUAAAGCUCUUUAGCUCACUGUAUCUACCUGCCCUCCGUCCUCUCUUCGCCUUUAUCUCCCUCCUUCAAUGUUACACAUUUCAACCAAGCACGCAGAUGUUACAGCCCUAAAGUUGAUAUAAACCAGAGAAUAAACUGGUAAAUGAAUGCGUGUGUCCGCUAGGGGGAGCGUGAGCAUGGUCCCGUUAAAUUCAUGGGUCCUGAUUACACAAGUGGACUUCUUGGAAGAUCUGGCCCAAAUGGAUAUUUUAAGACACCUUAAAUGUAGCCAAAAUGCAUCUGCAUCGUGAUUCACUGUCGAGAACGAGCCCGUUUAAAGGCUACAACAGUUCUACUGUUCUGGCUCCGACAGGGUCCCACAUCUGAGGCUUCUCAUCGCGGUGAGUCGAUGAGGUCUGUUUAUCUCGUUCAUCUUCACGAGAAGAUGGAGCUCUGUGCUCUCCGCGUCCGUGAUGGGAUGAAUCGCACCAGCGAAGCGCCGUUUCACAUGCAAAUGCCUCCGGUUUGUCAGGCAUUAAGUACCAGGGCGCGAUAAUCUAUCCACGGGAUCUCCACUGGCACCCUCGAUGGCCCGCGGGCCUCCUGUGGGUCGUGACAGCAGGAGAGCGCAGGGCCUUCAGGGGUAAAGGAUAUGAUUUUCCAGGCUAUUCAUGAAAAUAACCUUUACAUGUAAGUCUUAAUGGUCACACCAUGUUUAUUGACAUGAACGAGGUGGAUGGAGUUUUGCUCUGUGUGUGUGUGUGUGUGUGUGUGUGUGUGUGUGUGUGUGUGUGUGUGUGUGUGUGUGUGUGUGUGUGUGUGUGUGUGUGCGUGUGUGUGUGUGUGACAGACAGACAGAGCGUGUGUUUGGGAGAAGUUUGGCUUUUAAAGUCCACACCACCAGGCUCAUCUUCAUCAGCCGCACUGGCCUGGACUUUAUUUCUUGUAUUUUCACUCUUUACCUUCACAGCUCCCGGUGCAAUGACACCGCCGUUUCACUCCGACCCGAAACCUUCCAGCUUUUGAAUUAAAACUCGCGCAAACAUCUUUUGUUUGUUUGUUUUUUUGUUUGUUGUUGCAAAACAUUGCGCUAAAAAAACUCCGGAGUGCGCAGAGUGCGCAGAGUGCGCCAGUGAGAAGGUAAUGCGACCCCCUGCGUAAACUCCGGUGACCACCUCUCUCUCUCUCUCUCUCUCUCUCUCUCUCUCUCUCUCUCUCUCUCUCUCUCUCUCUCUCUCU
ensembl:lncRNA